rnacentral:rRNA from 1 species
AUUGAACGCUGGCGGCAGGCUUAACACAUGCAAGUCGAGCGGGGUGAUGGUGCUUGCACUAUCACUUAGCGGCGGACGGGUGAGUAAUGCUUAGGAAUCUGCCUAUUAGUGGGGGACAACAUCUCGAAAGGGAUGCUAAUACCGCAUACGUCCUACGGGAGAAAGCAGGGGAUCACUUGUGACCUUGCGCUAAUAGAUGAGCCUAAGUCGGAUUAGCUAGUUGGUGGGGUAAAGGCCUACCAAGGCGACGAUCUGUAGCGGGUCUGAGAGGAUGAUCCGCCACACUGGGACUGAGACGCGGCCCAGACUCCUACGGGAGGCAGCAGUGGGGAAUAUUGGACAAUGGGGGGAACCCUGAUCCAGCCACGCCGCGUGUGUGAAGAAGGCCUUAUGGUUGUAAAGCACUUUAAGCGAGGAGGAGGCUCUUUUGGUUAAUACCCAAGAUGAGUGGACGUUACUCGCAGAAUAAGCACCGGCUAACUCUGUGCCGGCAGCCGCCGCCG